CGGCGUUUUGCUCUUCCAGAGCUCUGCUGGCUGGUGUAGGCCCUCCCUGCCCACUGGCUCACAGCCACCCAGAUACAGGGCCAGCACGCCGUUGGGUACAGAUGGUGAACCUGAGGCUCGUCACGGGUCGCCCGCAACAGGGGGUGUGGGGCAGGUUGGGGAGGUGGUGCUGGCUGGAACCCUGGGCCGAAUUCUUCCACCUGCAGGCCCAGGACCCCCAUUUUCCUUCCUAGACUUCCCAGUUGGGUCUGCAGCCUGGCAGGGAGGAUGUGGGAUGCAGGAGGCCCCGUUGGGCUUCAUCAGUUGGGCUAGAGUGGACACCCAGCUCUGGGGAGCCCAGCCCAGCCUCAGUGGACCCCAGAAAGCCCUCUCUGCUCCACAGGGUCCCUCUCUCAGGGCAAGGUCCCCCCCAGCCUGGCUUCUGUGUCCCUCCUGAGACCUGUCACCCCUGCCACACCUGACCCACUGUGUCUGGUCACCUUGGGGCCCUUCCCAUCCUGGAGGUGGGCCCUGCUCCCUUUUCCUCUGGAAAGAGGCUGAUAGCUCCCUGGGCCUGGAAGACACUCGCCUCCCCACCUGCUCAGCCGCAGCCCCGACUGCCUUUUCUGGGAGACCAGAACUGCUCCCCAGUCCUCCUAGUGUCUGGGUCUAAACCACCUGUGUCCCCACCACCCUGGAGGGGAGCCCUUGGCUGUGGUCUGCCCCAACCUUGGGUUCUCUGCACCUAAGCCAGUGAAUAUUUGGUGAGUAAAUGAAUUUAGGGUGGGUGAAGUGGCUCAUGCCUGUCAUCCCAGCACUUUGGGAAGUCGAGGCAGGAGGAUCGCUUGGGGCCAAGAGUUUGAGACCAGCCUGGGCAACACGGCAAAAAAAUAAAACAAAAUUUAAAACUUAGCCAGGUGUGGGAGCAUAUACCUGUAGUCCCGAGUAUGGGAGGCUGAGGAGGGAGGGUCGCUUGAGCCCAGGGGUUCAAGGUUGCAAUGAGCUAUGACUGCACCACUGCACUCCAGCCUGGGCAACAGAGCGAGACCUUGCCAAAAAAAGAAAAAGAAAAAAAAAUUAUUUCCUGGCCCCAAAGAUCCAGUCCUCACG
rnacentral:lncRNA from 1 species